rnacentral:lncRNA from 1 species
AUGUCUGCUGUAACUGCGUCACUCUGCUCCACGCUGAUGUUUGUCCUGUUCGUCUCUGCAGACCAGAAAAACAUCACAGCUGAGUCUGGACAGGACGUCACUCUGACAUGUCGAGCUCCAAACAACAACAUCAUAGUUGUAAAGUGGAGCAGAGCUGAUCUGGGAGAUGAUUAUGUGCUUUUGUACCGGGAUGAGCAGUUUGAUCCAGAAGGCCAGCAUCCAUCUUUUAAGAACCGGGUGGAUCUGCAGGACAGACAGAUGAAGGAUGGAGACGUGUCUUUGAUUCUGAAGAAUGUGACGAUUAAUGAUGUUGGAACAUACGAGUGUGGUGUUGUCCAGCGAGUGAGAGGACCUUUGACUCUAAUCAACACCACCUACCUUCAUGUUGAUCCUCCAGGUCAGACAGGAGGACACGAGAAGGAUGAAGACAACAAAGAUGGAGGAAAGGAAGACAGAAGGAAGGAGGAUGGAUCUGUUGGACUGAAAGUUGGUCUGUCAGUUCUUGUUGUGCUUCUUCUUGUUGCUGUUGUUGGUUUCUUCAUCUACAGAAGCUGUAAACUGAAUCCUGCUGAUCCACAUGUAGCAGAGCAUCUUCAGCCUCCACAGCCUGAAUACCAGAAAAACAUCCCAGCAGAGUCUGGACAGGACGUCACUCUGACAUGUCGAGCUCCAAGCAGCGAGUCAGAGAAAAUGAGCGAACAGCUUCAUCAACUUGAUUAUUGA